ensembl:snRNA U6 U6 spliceosomal RNA
GUACUAGCUUCAGUAGCACGUAUACUAAAUUGGAAUGAUACAGAGAAGAUUAGCAUGGCCCCUGCAUAAGGAUGACAUACAAAUCCUUGAAGCAUUCCAUAUCUUU